rnacentral:rRNA from 1 species
AUGAAGUCCACCACGGCCGCCCCGUCCAAGGGCAAGGCGGCGUUCGAGCUCAAGCACAGGCUGGUCCACGCCCUCAACAAGAUCGCCGACCGGGACACCUACCAGAUCGGCCUCAGCGAGCUGCACGCCACCGUCGACGCCCUGGCCCCCGACAUGGUCGGCCCCUUCCUCUCCUGCGUCAUCGACACCGACGCGGACCAGAAGAGCGCGGUGCGCAAGGAGUGCGUCAAGGCCAUCGGCGCGCUGGCGCGGUCGCACGGGGCCCUGCUGGCGCCGCACAUCCCCAAGCUGGUCGCCAGCGUCGUCAGGCGCCUCAAGGACGCCGACUCCGUCGUCCGGGACGCCUGCGUCGACACCUGCGGCACCCUCUCGGCGUGCGCCAGGGAGUUCGGGGACGGCGGCGCCGCGCUGGUUGCGCUGGUGCGGCCGCUGUUCGAGUCGCUGGGUGAGCAGAACAGGUAUGUCCAGGCCGGGGCCGCGCUCUGCCUGGCCAAGGUGAUCGAUGAGAGCAGCUACUUCCCUGGCCCUGUUCUGCCACAGAUGCUCGCGCGUGUUGUUAAGAUCCUCAAGAACCCUCAUUUCAUGGCCAAGCCCGCCGUGAUCGAGCUGCUCAGAAGCAUUGUUCAGGCUGAAGGUGCUUCUACAGAGCAGGCUUUAUCAUCAGCACUAACAAGUAUUAUGGAUUCCCUGAAGAGUAGUGACUGGACUACAAGGAAAGCAGCUUCUCUAGCUCUUUCAAGUAUUGCUGUCAGCUCAGGAUAUUUGGUUGCGUCUUUCAGAACUUCCUGCCUUCGAUCCCUUGAACGCUGUAAAUUUGACAAGGUAAAACCGGUGCGUGAUGCAAUUACCCAUGCCAUCCAGUUGUGGAAAGCUAUCCCAGGUUCUGAGACUCCUGAACCUUCAGAAGCUGGGUCAUCCACAAAAGAAAACUUUUUUGGUGACCAUAAUGAUGCCAGAAGUGUACAUGAUGGUGGAUCAAGAGCGACUUCUUUUAGGAGAGUUGAGCCUACACCUUCAGCAUCUGUUGUAAGUGGCAGUUCUAUCACUUCGGUAAAGAAGAGAUCCCCAUUGUCUGUCAACAAGAUACCUCAAAACAAUGCCUCAAAUCAGCAGCAUUUGAAGUCAAAUGACUGGCAUGUGGAGAUAUCAGUCCCUAAGCAGAAUACAGUGCCAGAUCUUGGGAAAAAGGGAUAUGGCAGCAACCGCAUGUUGAAAUAUGCAAAAGGAAGUCCUUAUGGAAUUGUAGAUGAAGACAUCAAGUCUGACUAUGACCCUAUGGAUGAUAAACAAGAAUGCUCCUCUUUAUCAGAAGUAGCCAGCAGGAGCUAUGAGACGAAGCAUGUCACCUCUGCUCUGGAAGUCACUGAAGAUGUCACUGAGCUUUGCCCUAGGGCUCGAGAGACCAAGAGCAUAGACUCCACUGUUACAGAUGUCACUUCACAUGGCACACAUACUUGUUGUCUGAGUGCGACGAAAGAAUUAGCCCUUAUUAGGAAGCAACUACAAGAGAUGGAAAGGAAGCAAGCAAAUCUUUUUGAUCUUUUGCAGGAGUUCAUGUCGAAUUCUGUGGAGAACAUGUCAGUGCUGAACUCAAAAGUACACAAUUUGGAGUAUGCUGUAGACAAAACUGUGUAUACAAUUACUCAGAGUGAAAGCCGCUAUCAAGUUCCUGGCUCCAAGGGUUUUAAGAACCAGAGUGUCUCUUCUUCACCCAGGCUUUCUAAUUCGACACCUAGAUCAUCCGUUGAUGCCAACUUUAGGCCACCAACAAUUCCUCAUUUGAAACAAGAGAAGAAGUGGGCUCACGAUCUACCAUCUAAGGGCACGAGCACUUGCGUAAAAGAGGGUCAUGAAUUUCUGAAGGCCCAUGCUCGUAACCGAGUUAUGAAGUCUGGGGCUGGGAGCUCAGAGGAAAGUUACAUUCCAAGUUCAGUGAGGGGUCGAGCAUCUGGGGUCAAGGGGACCUUCCCGGUUCCAUUUACGAGUCCAUGUGAUCAGCCUGAUCUGCAAAAUGCAUUGUGUGCUUCUAGUCAGGCUGGCGAGUUUCGCGGUUGUGACGGCAUGGAGCCUGCAUAUGCUGAAGCCCUUAGCUAUGGUGAUUCUGAUGAUCUGAUUGACCUGAUGGACAGAACUGGGCCUGUUCUUGACAAGUUGUCGCGUGAAACGGCAAAUGAACUUUUAAGGCUUAUUGCUGGCCAGUUCCUUGACACAAAGUUAUUUGACUUGGCCCUACCUUGGAUUCAGCAGGUGGUGGAUCUAAGCACGGUUUACAAGCCGAGCCAAGUCUUUGUGUCCGCGAGAGCACAGAGGGAGUUCCUUUCAGCACUGGAGGAAGCAGCAACCAGCGGAUCUACAGAACCAGCCGUCAGAAUCGCCAUCGUGCAGCUUGCAUUUAAACUGACCAAGGCUUGUGAGGCCGCCCCUUGCAGGAAAAUCUCAACCAGAGUAUCCAGGGGAAGCGAAUCCGUCGUCAUGGCCACCGUGAUGUGA